GCAAACUUGGUCAUUUAGAGGAAGUAAAAGUCGUAACAAGGUUUCCGUAGGUGAGUUAUAACCAAAACCUCUCUACGAUUUAUAUGAUAAUGUGCUAACUUUGAUUAAUAGGUGAACCUGCGGAAGGAUCAUUAAAAGAAGCGGUACUUCGGUACCAUUCUCAACCCAUGUGAAUCUUUUUAAUUGUUGCUUUGACAAACCGUUAACAUUUAAAACAUGUUACCUUUGGACUUGUGCUAAAGUGUGUUUGUCAAGGAAUUUUUAAAUUCUGUUAAUUUGAAUUUUCUGAAAAAUUAAAAAUAAAUCAAAACUUUCAACAACGGAUCUCUUGGUUCUGGCAUCGAUGAAGAACGCAGC
rnacentral:misc_RNA from 1 species